GGAUUAGAUACCCUGGUAGUCCACGCCGUAAACGAUGAGUACUAGUUAUUGGAGGUAUUGACCCCUUCAGUGACGCAGCUAACGCAUUAAGUACUCCGCCUGGGAAGUACGGUCGCAAGACUAAAACUCAAAGGAAUUGACGGGGGCCCGCACAAGCGGUGGAUUAUGUGGUUUAAUUCGAAGCAACGCGCAAAACCUUACCUAGGCUUGAAAUCCUACGAAUCUGGUGUAAUGACCGGAGUGCUCGCAAGAGAAUGUAGUGACAGGUGCUGCAUGGCUGUCGUCAGCUCGUGUUG
rnacentral:rRNA from 1 species